GCCGUGGAGACCCGGGGCGGGGAGGGGGGGAGGCCGGCGGCGGGGCCGGGGAGCUGGGGCGCGCGGGGCGGGCGCGGAAGGGCGGAAGGGGAGGCCGGAUGGGGUGAGGGUAGAGCCCGGGCGGGCGCCGCCUGUGAGUGGCGCCAGGAUGGAUGUGCCCAGCGCAGCCUCCGCGCACUCUCCUGGGAACAAUGAGACCCAACAAAGGGUUCUCGGCUCUCCCACGUGGUGAACCGCGUCCGUUGCUCGGCAAAGUGAGGCACGGGAGGGGGGGGGGGGGGCCUUGUUUCGGGAGCGCACCCCCUCCCCAGGGCCCCGCGGCCAGGUGCGCUGGACCUGGCCCUGGACCUCUCCUCUGCCCUCGUCUGCACCUGCAGCUCCCAGACCGCUCCCUCUGCCGCCCCUCUUCUGCACACCGAUUUUGGCCUUGAGAAAGCGUCUCAGUUUCUGUUCCUUACAGAAGGCGCCAGGCACGCUGUCGCCAAGGGAAACCCCAUCAGGCUCCUGACCCUACUUCCUUGGGCUCAGACAUCCCCAUCAAGCCUGGAAACCGCGCAGGCCCAGAACCCGUAGUCCAGAAAUUACCCCCCAGGAAACCCCCAGCGCCCGAGGCACUCUCUUUCAUAGGAAGUUUACCCAGAGAGAAGGCUCACAAUGGACUUCUGCUCAAGAAUAAGGCAAGACCGGAAGUGACUAAGUGUAAGGUGUUGGUAACCGACGGUAAGUGCGAAGGGGGUUCAGAGAAUGAAGAUGAAACUGGAGGGCCUGUUUGUUGAGAACAGAUACCUCAGGAGGCUGUGCAGGAGCAAAGUGGAGAAGGCUUGGGUGAACAGAGUCAGCCUCCAAGUCCUUCCACAGGUGACUGUUCCGUUCUAAAUCACACCUUGCACUGACAGAUUCUUUCUGCAUCCCACCAAUGUCUAACUUAGUUAUGUUUGAAUGGUGCCGUUGGCUUGGUCCAUCAAGCAUUCAGUCAACAAAGACUUACUGCAUUUAGCUCCAGGCCUAAACUAAGCUUAGCUAGGUAGAAAGAAGCCAGUGACUAAAGCCCGUGCCCUGAGCGAGUCAAGGGGAAAAGGGGGAUAUCGUCCCUGGUUCACAGGCAGGAAAACUGGCCCAAAGAGAGUCAACAGGUGCCCAAAUCACCAAGGUGAGUCUGGCCAAGCUGAACUGAGAAUCGACCCAGCUUCUAAACUUUGCUGACCCUUUGAUGAACUAGAUCUAAACACGGUUUGCAGUUCUUGCCAUGAGCCAUGUAAACUCUGCCAGAGAACAGAACUGAACAGAACUGAAGGGCCAACUCUCACUCCCGGAGACCUGACUCCCAAAUCUACCUCUGUCACUACAUUGCUUUAGUUUUCUUACUAGAAAAAAAAUGGAAAUAACUGUGUUUAGUCAAAGUUACUGUUGGUAUUAAAUUAGGCAGUGGCCUGAAACUUGGCUCUGAAAGUAUAGUGUGCAUGUAAGUGUGCAUUAUCUUAUGCAGGUGGCAUCCCUUCUUGAGCCUAUAGAAGUAGUCAGAUCUUGGGGCGCCUGGGUGGCUCAGAUGGUUGAGCGUCUGCCUUCGGCUCAGGUCAUGAUCUCAGGGUCCCGGGAUCUAGUCCCGCAUCGGGCUCCCUGCUCCUUGGGAGCCUGCUUCUCCCUCUGCCUCUCUCUCUCUCUCUCAUGAAUAAAUAAAUAAAAUCUUAAAAAAAAAGAAGUAGUCAGAUCUCCUCCCCUCCCCGCCCCCCAGGGCUUAUCCCAGGUUACUGGGCGCCCAGAAGCUAACUGUACUCUGACUCCUCCCCUCAGGCCCCAGUGUGCUUACUCAUGAUCUUUCCCCUUCGGUUUCUUAAUGGCACAACCAGAUGCUUAGCUAGCUGCCUGGAAGCCAUAUGAUCAGUGGGGCAGGAGGGAAGCAAUUCUGGGGCCUUUUGGACCCUGGGCGAGGGGUUCUGGAGCCAUCUGAGCACCACCCAGCUCCUUGACCCCUUGCAGGACACUGCAGGUUGCUCAGCAAGAGGCAGUGUGAUGAAGCCAGCAGGGGUUUGGCUCCUUGGGACUGUUCUCCCCGCCAGCUAGCUGCGCCAGGGACAGGACAAGACGACCUAAGGAGCCGCCGUCUGGGUCCUGGUCCCGUUUGGAGCCGAGCUGCUUCCGUUCCUUUUUCCUCUGCCUCCCUUGACCUCUCUGGUUCUGUCUCCACGGUGGAGGAAGUGGGGCAACCAGACGGGCCUCAGGGCCAGAUGCUUGUCGGGGAAGCCGUGGCCCCGGAGGCUCCUCCUUGGCAGGCGGUGGGUAGGAGGCCCGGAGCUGCUCGACAAAUGUGCCUCACAGGCUUCUGGCUCCUACCAGAACGCCACACAUGUGCCCCGUUAGCAUCCUGCCCACCAGGAGGAGGGAACAGCAAGAUGCCUUGUGAGGAAGAAAUAAACCCAAUCCAGCAUCUCAGACGCUUUUAAAAAUAGCAACUCUGGGAGGGUAUUUCAGCUCCUAUUUUUAUCAGAUUUAUAUGGCCGGACCAUAGAGCUGAGCUGUUCCCAGGGUUCUCAAUAGCAAGCAGGGGACAUCACCGUUGUAGUCUUAGAAACCUGCCGCUAGGCCAAGGCAUUCCAGGAACCUUUAAGCUGGAGGAGAUCCCAAGAAGUCAUUGCGUGCAGCCCUUGCCUCUGCUUGGGGCCACAGUCAAUUAACCACAGACAGUUUAUGGCUUGCUUUUUGCUUAAGAGUCUCUUGGUUUCUGUGCCUCCACACUGCAUAAUCUAGCAUUUCACAGCCCUUCUAAUCAGAAGUUCUUUUUAAUAUAUAGCCCAAAUAUCUCUGGUUACAUCCUUCUCACAGUAGAAAUAAAGCUAACGUUUACCCAGUGACGACUAUGUCCAAAAAAGGCUCGUCUUUAAUCCCCACAAAACCCUUCAUGGUGGGCACUCAUCAUUCCUAAUUUGGAAGCAGUUAGGUAACUUGCCCACGAUCAUACCUGGGGGAUGGUGCAGAUUCUAUGCCAAAGCCACCAGACCACACUGCCUUCCAGACAUUUGUCCUUCGCUUGGACUUUCAUUUCUUCAUCAUGGUCCUGAAGGACGAACUGGCCAGUGUUGUCAUUGUGCACGUGUGUGUCAUGCCAGAAGCUUGGCUCUAGAUCCCAGCGUGCUGAGCCAUGGUCCCCCGAACUGCCUGGCCUCUGUUUGUCAAACGUAGCCUAGAAAUUUGCCUUCUCUUUGCAUUUGCCUUCUCACAGCCCCCUCUGCUUUAUUUGAAGGCAUUCACCACUCUUGUAAUUACUUUGUAAUUAAUGCCUGUGUUCCUCACUAAAUCAUAAGCUCCAUGUGAGCUCUAGCUCCAGAUUCUUACUUAAAAAAAAAAAAAAGUCGGGAAGAUGUGCAAAACAUGGGCGUUGAAUUGAAACACUUUAAACGGAUUCAGUCCCUGCUUAUUUUUUAAGUGGUUAGAACAUGGUAACUUCAAGUCUGUGUAGAUUUCAGAAUCCAGUAUCGUUUCACUAAUAAUAGCACUAGAACAAACACAGGGUUGCCAACAUUUAUUUUGCUGAGUGAGGAUAUUUUAAAAACAACUACCACCAAUGACUACCAUCUUCUUUAAAAAAGGACAUUUUAACAUCAAUAUAUACAUGUUUGGAAUGAAGAUUUUCGUCCUUUCUGAGAAGGAAGAGUUGGCCGACCUACAUUAGUUGAUUCAGAGAGAAAAGAGAUACACUAAAAUGUUUUGGAUAUGGAAGUAUUACAAGAGAAACAAUUUCAAAUAUUACUUUGUAUGUAAAUGUGUCUCGAUUUGUUUCUCAGUUCGGGGCUCUGUGUUCAGCUUACAUGUCCCAUUUGUUCCGAAAUGUUAUUUUUCUCCGUGUCAUGAAGGAGUGUUGACAAAUCCAGGACACUCAGCAAUUUCGCUCUGUGAGGAAACUUUUGGGCAAAAUGAAAGGAGCCAAGGAACAAUAGCAGUCAUUCUUCCUUCCUUCUCUAGCCACGCCGAGGAGAGAGUGGGCCAAGUACUGGGGGCCGACAGCCAGUUGUGGACAUGUCCAGGAUUUUCCCGGGCAGGGUGCUAUCUCCCCUGCUCCAGCAGGGCAGGGACACAGGCACGCACGGGGAGGGCACGCAGUCAAACACAGAAGACUUUCUUGGCAACACACGGGACAGAUGUAUCAUGCUGCCAGAGAGGGGCCAGCGUUUGCUAGCUGGUUAAGGUGGGGUCGAGGGCCCCUGGAUCUUGCUCAGGAAGCUUUCUCCGGGGAGGCAGGAUGUGGGGUUCUUCAAAGUGACAUCCAGAGGAAAGCUAGGGCAGGGGCGCCUGGGUGGUGUGGUCAGUUGAGCAGCCGACUCUUGGUUUCCGCUCAGGUCAUGAUCUCAGGGUCAUGAGCUCGAGCCUCGCGCUGGGCUCUGAGCUCAGUGCGGAGUCGGCUUGGGAGUCUCUCUCCCUCUCCCUCUGCCCCUCCCACUCAUGCCCUCUCUCUUUCUCAUCUCUCUAAAAUAAAUAAAUAAAUAAAUCUUAAAAAAGAGGAAAGCUAGGGCAGAGAGGGGGUAGGUAGCUCUCACUCUGUAUCCCCUGGACUGAGAAGCAGGAGACCUCGAUUGAGUGGAGCUCCUUUACUUGAGAGGAAAGCCCUUGCUCGGGAGGUGACCCAGUUGCUGUGACCUGCUCCAGGCCCAUGGGGCCUGUGGUGGCGGGAGCUGCACUUGGACCCCUGUGGUCCCUGGGAACACAGACUCCCUAGAACUGACAGGAAGUGGUAUGUGGUCAGAAAGCAUGGGCCUUCGAGAAGAGGCCCUCUGGCAGUUCAGAUGAGGUGUAACAGAGCGACUGACCCCUUGACUCGGCCAGUUCCUCUCUGCAGCUGGAGGCCCCAGGAUGCAGGUUAAGACGGGGUUGCCUCGAAGACAGUCUCAUGCGGUGGCGAGGGCAAAUAGGUGUAUGUCACACAGGGACCCAGCAGGAUCCAUUUCAUGCCUCACCACACAUCUGACCAGCCGUUCCCUGGAGGAGAAGUAAACACUCGUGGGCAGGGACACUGGCCACUGCGGGGGCCUUUGGGGGCAUGAGGCCAAAUUCCUGAGGUCGCUUCUCCCAGAGCAGUUUGCAGCCUGCAGGGCUGUUCUCUGGGCCUUAGUGACUCCGGCUUCAGGGGCCACGGGAGAAGUGACCCUCUUCCCCUCUGAAAGCAGAGUUCAUCCUGACAGAGGAGUGCCUCCCAGCAGUACAAAAGAGCAAAGCCUUUAGAACCUCUCUCUAGAACAGCUCUUACCUACGGCCUCGUCCUACACUCUCCCAACCCACGGAGCCACACUCCCAGAGGGUACAGGUUGGUGGGUCUUCUUGAUCUUCCUGUCCCCAACACCACACUGCAGUGCCGGCCCAUGCAAGGUGUUUGGUAGAGACUUGAUGGAUGGGUGAGUAAGCCUGAGAGGAAGGAGGAGCGAUGGGACAGAUCACGCUGGGGAGUCAAGUCUGGGGAGGCAGGGAAUACCUUGGCAGGGCUUAGUCCCAGCGAAAUAGAGACCCUGGUCCCCUGAGAGGCUCCCCAGCGGUCUUUUGGGGUCGGGAUUUGCCACGGGCUCAUCUUUUCCAAGCAUGCACCCGUGUGUGAAGCCAGAUGAGAGCCCCACCAGCAGAACCUGAUCUGUCAAGGAGAAAAGGAUGCUCCCGGGAUUGGGUCCCUCUGCUCUGUCUGCAAGGAGGGGCCUCUCUGGGUUGGCAUCCCCUCCACUCCUGCUCCCCUCAAUUAUCUUUGCGACAGUUCUUGUACAUGGACAAAACCGGCCAGGGGUUCUCUUAAACUAGCCGCUGCUUCAUCUCUUCCUGGUGGGGGGGAAGGCAGCUCCCACCCAGGGCCACCCCUCUCCCUGUAACCAGCCCCCUUUGGCCUCACCCCCGUAUUCCACUUAGGCUGUCGCGCGACAGAUGCGCAGGUCAGCUAUCCCGCCGAGCACUGAGAUUCCACAAGCACACUCCGUUGGUCUUCCUAGGGGAACCUUGUACACCAGCCCCUCCCACAUACCUGUUUUCAAGGUAGCUUCCCAAGUGCUGCCUCUUUCUACUCCUACGGUUCGCUUGGCUGGCUGCCCCAGUAGCCUGGAGGGGAGGAGCUUUGUUUUCCCAACAGUUAAAGCAUGGCCUGGCUUAAAAGGCGAUCCUUUACCAGACGUAAGUCAACGUUUACCAGAAAGCAACACUAUCACGCGUUACAUUUACACAGCAGGACACUUUGUGGAUCCUCAUCCCCGCUCUCUUUUACAAAGAAACAGGCUCAGGACACGUGGGGUCUGGUCCAAGGUUAUGGGGUGAACGUCACCUCCAGGGGGAGAGACUUCGGUUUGUUCACCACUCACCAGUCUCUAGGGCAGUGCCUGGCCUGCAACGUGCAUUUGACUCUGAAUUGUCUCCUGGCUCUCUCAGUCCAGGAAUUGCAGAAUACAGGCCAUCCCUGCCUUAUGCUGCCCUCUUAUCACUUAGCAGAACCCAACAUCCUGUCCCCCCUGAGAAAGCCUCCCGAGGAAGCACGGUCCAGCGGGGCUGAGGGACUAACGAGCAAAUCCCAGCCCCUCUCCGCAGUGUAGUAUACCUGUCCCCGUGCUGAAAUGAGUGCCUCAUGUAUCCAAGUGCGUACCCUCACGUGUGCACCCUGACGUCACCCUUCCCAGAUUAAGUCCCCGAAGGCUCCCUAAGGCCACCAGCCUAAGACACUCUUAAGUCCCUUCCUGGCCUCCGGAUUCUACGAACAGGGACCUGUGUCGCCGGUCACACCUCGAAUCCGAGCCCCUCGGAGCUCUUGUCCUCCACCACGACCGUAUCAUUUUGCCCUUGAUGGGCUGUUUUGUGUUUGGCCUUCUGGCUGUUCUAUGAGCUUGUUUUGUCUUCCUCCCUAGAUAACAAACUCAAGGCCAGGGGCUCGCUGACCAAAUAACAGAGGCAAAGGCAAGCUUUUUUGAGCUUGCAUCAUCUGAUUCUUAUUAAAACCCUCCCAUUUCCAGGCAGCAAUCCUUUAUCCUUGUCAACAAGAAGUUUAUCAGCGGGGCUGACUUACAGGCUGAAGGUGUGAUCUCAGUUCUGGGGAGGGGAAGAGGAAGCACUGUCAAAAACACUCUGUAGAUUAUUUCCAGAACGUUUUUGUAUUUGGUUUUUGUGGGGAACUCCCAGACACAUGGGCCUUGAACACCAGGAGGAAGAUAGAGCAAAUGGGAAGAAGGAAGGGGGAGGUGAGAGCAGAGCAGGAAGGACCGAAGACAGGGAAAGGCACCGUCAGAUUCGGGACACAGAAAUCACCAAGGAUGGUGUUUACUGGGAUUUGGAGAAAGCCCUUGGCACACAUCCGGGUCAGCUGAAGCCAGCACCCCAGACUUGGCUCCUGUACCAGGAUCUUCCUACCCUGUUCUGCCGGCACCACCUGCCUCCCCAGUCAUCAGUCCACACCAAAGGGGACUAAUACUUUAUU